AACGAAACGCAACCGCGCGCCAGCUCCUCGAUUCACCGAACGCAGUGAACUGUCCGAGAAAUAAACCGCCGCCGACGGCGCCGUCAGACGACACCGACGCACGGCGAAACGUGCACAGCGAGGCCACGCUCUGCAACACGUUUUUGUUGGAAGACUAAACGCACCGCAUUGUUUCAAUCUUUGGGGAAUUAAGUGGUUUAUUUCAAAUAUAGAAGGAUAUUGGAUAUCUACAUUGUUCAAAAUGUAAGUAAUUUAUUCUUCUAUUUAUGUAAUACUAAUUUUUUUAUUAUACUUUUAUCAUAUUUAUAUUUUUAAAAUGAAGUUUCUUCAGAAUUGUUGUGACGUGGAAAACGCCCUGUAUCUCCUGAACUAAUACAUAUUCUGUAAGUUUCUUUAUGCCGUAUUAUAGUCUAAAUGGCCCUCUU